CAGGGUCCUGGCAGGACGGAGACCCUCGCGGGGCGGGUGGGCUCGGCUUGGGCGGGACCGAACUGGACCGUUUCUGUACCCUCCUGGGUCCACAGCUGUAUUGGGGAGGCCGUGAACAGGCCGCGAGAAAUGAGCCGACACCGUUCCAGAGAGCAGCAGGAGCUGAGAAGAGAAAUAAAAAAGGGUAAUGGACCAAAGCGUGGAAACCGGAGAGAUGGACAGUACCGGAGGGCGCCCCGAAGAACCUAAGAAGACGAUCUUUGAGCCGAGACCUGGACCAUGGCUGGGAGACGGGCCCGGGAAGAUGCGCAGGAACGACGUGCCAGAAGGAUCACCAAGGGCAAAGGCCCUUGCCUCAGGGCUUGACAGAGCCAGAGGGAGGUUGAUUGAUGCGGAUAAUAAGUCUUGAUCCGCAGUCAAAAACACUGAAUUGAGGCACAGGUCCCACAGGGAAAUGGAGCCAGAAUUCCAGCCCAGUUCUGUGUGACCCACAGUCCCAUGGUCUUCCUAGUACACUGCCUCUCAACACGCAACCUCUCGGCCCCUGGGAAUGUAUCUUUUGGAUUCAGCAGAAGUCAAGAGCUCUUUGGAAAAGCUUGCUGUGCAGCAUUAUUUAUGAGACCGAAGGAGUGGACAGCACCACAGCCCAACUACAGAAAAAGAGCUGAGCAAAUCGUUGCUCACUUCACAAGGAGUCUCCUGUAGUAGUUGAAAAUGCUAAUGAUGAAGAUGGAAACAUGGGGAAAGACGAAUGAUAAUGCAUUAAGUACAAAAAAAAAAAAGUCCCAUGCAAAAUGGUCUGUAUGCUAUGAUUACAAUCGUGUCAAAACAUGGCCAUGUGUACGGACAGAGAGAAUGGAAAGAUGAAAGUAUUUGUGUGUUUAGCUGGUGGGUUUUCUUUGCCAUUUUCAAAAUUAUACUCUCUAGUUGUUGUUUAUUUGUUACUUCAAAGAGUCUAUGUGCCUAAAUUGACGUCCCAGCCUCUCCCACCCAGAAGCCUAGUUUAGAUCCUCCUGCCUUGUGACCCUUGGUGGAAUAUCACACACCUGCUUCAUGGAGUUGUUGCGAGGAUGAUGUGUUCUGCCUUUUUGUACGUCCUGAACCUUUCCGUCAUGGCCCUUGAGGCAAGAUAAAUGGAGUGUUGUGAGCUUGUUUUACCUAUUCUACUCCUAACCACCCCCUUGAAACACUCUAAUUCCUUUUCUCUGAGAUUUUCGCCUGGUCCUCAAAGAACAAGAAUCAAAAGCUGAAAGUCUACAGCUCUUGUUAGCCUUAAAAAACUAAACUUUUUCGUUCAGUUUGGAGGAGGAGAGGAGAUGCUAGUGGAGGGGAGGGGAGAAGGAAGAGGGUAUGUGAGAAGCUAGAAGCAGUAUUCCGUAUGUUGUUUCUGUAACAGCCAUAGAACAAGAAAGGAGUGUGUGUCUGCUUUCAGACUACAAUUCAAGAGGACUAAUAAAAAUCAUUACAGCAAUGUAACUCAAAGUAUUUAUUAUGAACCAGAUACUUCCAUGAAAAAAUGUAUAUAUAUAUAUAUAUACACAUACACGUGUAUGUAUGCAAAUGGUUGUGUCUGUGUGUGUUCAUUUAAUCCUUAAAAUAAACUUACAAGUAGAUACUAUUAUUCCCAUUCUACAGGUUGGGAAACUGAGGUACAAGUAGUUAAGUAACUCUCACAGUCACCCGAAGUCUCUAACUUCUAGUACAAAGCCAAGAUUCAAGUCCAAGCAAUCUGGCUCCAAGAGCCAGUACCUUAACCCUAGUACUUUAUUGUUUCCUGUGGUCCUCAAGGGCCUGGAAUGGAACCUUGGAAUGGCCCCCAAUGGAUAAAAAGGGUUCACAAAGUUUUCCCAUAUCCCAGACCUGACACAGAGGUCACAAAGCCCGAAGACUUGGAGGUCUGUGCUGUGGUGUCAGUGGGCAUCUUAGCAAUGAUCAAAGUCAACAUAUUACCAGAGGGCAACAUCACCUGUUGCAUAUAACCCCAGAAAGGGAAACAUGUCAGGAACUUUGUACAACCCCCGGAAGGGAACCCCCAUCUCCCCCACUAAUGACUAAAAUUGUAGCCCAAAUAGAUGGGGAACUUAAACUGAUGUGAGAAGAAAAAAAUAAAUAAAUAAAAUAUAAGUAAAUAAACAGGUUUGGGUUUAAA